AACAGAAAGGCUCUUGCCUCCGUUAUGAUGCUUGUCUCAUGGGAACUAUGAAAGGAAUGAAAUGCCAGAAUUUUUCGCAACGCUGCGGCUCCAGCCACAAUUGUCGUCACGAGAAUUAAAGAGGAGACCCAUUUUUGGAGUUUGGUUGGGGCCAAAUAUUUGAGCAGUCUUAUGCUGCAAGAGUAG
rnacentral:rRNA from 1 species